rnacentral:rRNA from 1 species
UACGUAGGGGGCAAGCGUUGUCCGGAAUCAUUGGGCGUAAAGCGCGUGUAGGCGGCCAGAUAAGUCCGCUCUGAAAGCCCGGGGCUCAACCCCGGGAGGCGGAUGGAUACUGUUUGGCUCGAGUCCGGAAGAGGCGAGUGGAAUUCCCGGUGUAGCGGUGAAAUGCGCAGAUAUCGGGAGGAACACCAAUGGCGAAGGCAGCUCGCUGGGACGGUACUGACGCUGAGACGCGAAAGCGUGGGGAGCAAACAGG